rnacentral:rRNA from 1 species
UACGGAGGGUGCAAGCGUUGUCCGGAAUCACUGGGCGUAAAGGGCGCGUAGGCGGCUCAUGAAGGCUGUGGUGAAAGUCCGGGGCUCAACCUCGGAUCGGCCGUGGCGACUCGUGGGCUGGAGCACUGUAGAGGCGGGUGGAAUUCCGGGUGUAGCGGUGGAAUUCGUAGAUAUUGGGAAGAACACCGGUGGCGAAGGCGGCGACCUGGUCCGAUACUGACGCUGAGGCGCGAAAGCGUGGGGAGCAAACAGG